rnacentral:rRNA from 1 species
AUGAACAACGUGCCCCAAAGACUGGGAUAGUCGCUGGAAACGGCGGGUAAUACCGGAUGUGGCCGAUCCUUGGCAUCUUGGAUCGAUUAAAGGUUUUUCGCUUUGGGAGCGGUUCAUGGCUUAUCAGGUAGUUGGUGAGGUAACGGCUCACCAAGCCGACGACGGGUAGCGGGUCUGAGAGGACGAUCCGCUCGAGUGGGACUGAGACACGGCC